AUCAAGCUGAUGAGUCCCAAAUAGAACGAAACACGUAUCCUCGAU
rfam:Schistosoma rodhaini strain Burundi genome assembly, scaffold: SROB_scaffold0002153